rnacentral:rRNA from 1 species
GACAGAGGUGCCAAGCGUUAGGCGGAAUCACUGGGCUUAAAGGCGUGUGUAGGCGGAUCGUUAAGUACCUUGUGAAAUCCACGGCUUAACCGUGGAACUGCUCGGUAUACUGGCGGUCUUGAGCAACCUAGGGGCGAGCGGAACAAUUGGUGGAGCGGUGAAAGUGCGUAGAUAUCAUUGGAACGCCAAUGGUGAAACAGCUCGCUGGGGUUGCUGACGCUGAGACGACGAAAGCCAGGGGAGCAAACGG